UCAGGUACUAGGAGCAGCAGAAUAAGAAACCCUUAAAGAUUGCUGCACGUGCAUGAGAGUAGCCUACUAGAUUUUUAAAGACAGUGUAAACAGGUGCCUGGGGAGUUGCCGAGGUUACCUGAGUGGCACGUUUGAGCACUGCAAUGAUCCUCAUCUCUGUAUAAUAUAGCCUGUGAUGCUUUAUUUAUGGGAAACACAGAUGCUUCCCAAGCCCCAUCUUCGGUAGCGGCUAUCAUUCCCAGGUCCCAAACAUGGCUCUCCAGUUUGUCUCCUUUGUGAGAUAGGGUGCUGAAGGGAGUGAUGAGUGAAUCGUUUCCAUGGCUUUUGUCAGGAUUUCAAGUUCCCAGAUGGAAAGUUAACCAGGUUAGAAGAGAGCUACUUAAGGCACUAUUGAAAAGAGUGAAGGGGGAAAAAAAAAAAAGUAUGUGAAGGAAAGCAAGUGUGUGAAGUGGUUGUCUGUUUUUUUUUUUUUUUUGUGGUGUAAGAUACUGUGAAAAAGGAACAAGACAUUCAAGUUUCUCCCCUAUUCAUUUGCUUGCUGUUUGUGCUUUCUGGACACCUCCUCCUGAAUUCUACAUAUUAUUUUUAAUUUAGAGGAAAAUGUACAAGUGCAAAUGGACUCUAAUUUUUGUUGUUGUUAUUGUUUAUAUUUGGAAAUGAAAUAUAUGUUAAAAAAAGAGCUUGUUUAACCCUAUGUGCUCAUAUAUUCCUGUUACAGCUCUUGUAAGUUACCACUGUGUUCCUUUUUCAGAAGGCUUCUUGUCUAGAUCUGAUUUCUGAAAUCAACUUUAGUCAUAUCUCCAUUUUGAAACAGUAAAUUGGGAUGGUUACGAAUUGUCAGAUUGUGAGCUGGCACUGCUGAAAUGCAAUAGUAAAAAAAAAAAAGAGAAAAAAAAAAGAAAAAAAAAAAAGAAAAAAGAUUUGCCUCUUCAGUCUGAUCAGAACGAGCAAUCAGUGUUCGUGGGACAACACGUUUCAACAGUGAGAUUUCUUGCCGAAGAUCUGUAAACUGCUUGGGGAAGUAAGUUAACAAUGAAGUAAUCUAAUGAUUAAGUGUUAUAGCAUGACAUUAGCAAAUAGUAAUACCUUGACAUACAGUAGUAGAAAAGAUGAUUGAUUUGUAGGGCUGUUAUGUAUGACUAAUCUAAGGGUAUGUCAAAAUAAUGUUUUCUGGCAGGAAAAACCACAGAGAUCUGUAGUUCAUGGUAGCAGUAAAGAGAUAAUGUUCAUUGCAGAAACUACAUGAGACAAUAAACAAGUUUUGUGGAGCAUUCAACGAGGAAAUGAAGUUAUAAAUUUUACACACAAAUACAUCUCUUCCCUGAAGAUAAAUGUGAUCAAAAUGAAUAAAUUUCAACUUAAAAUGCUUUACUGUGUUCAAGUACUCGGAGAUUGCAGGGUCUGAGAGUAUUGUGGAUAGUUCAGAUCACAUUGCAGACAGAUUAGAAACAAGGUUGUGAAGGGUUAAGGUGUGGAGAAAGCAGGUGAAAUUUCAUAGGCUUUCUCCAGCUGGGGGUUGGUACACUAGUUGGUACAUAGCCUAGUGGCUGAAUUAAUAGCUAAGGUGAAUAAGUGCCUGUCCAUGUCCUUUGCCUCUGUUUAUAAACUGCUUGUCAUCUCCUGCCCCUUGCAGCAAGCUAGUAUGAUAGCGAGGAUCUGUUAGCAUUAUUAUAAAUUAGCUUUUUGGGCUUUGUAAUGUGUUGAGUAAUUCUUGUUGCUUUUUUCCCCAUUUAUCUUUUGCCAUCGAUAGCUUUGUCAGUAAGCAGGCAAGUUUGGGAUUUCCUCUUUUUGUCAGUUCAGGUUCAUGUAACAUGGCUUUUACACUUGAUAUUUCUACACAUAGUCCUGGUUAUACAACUUCUGUGUAUUUACACAGAGUUGAGCUGAUUGUUGUAAUUUGAAGGGAG